GGGAACCAACAUGUAUCCUUCUUCUGCUCUCCUUGGACAGAACAAGGAUGAGUCUAUUGCUGCCCUUCCUGUUGAUGAGCUUAUUGAAAAGGCUGAUGGCUUUGCUGGUGUCUUCCCUGAGCACAAAUACGAGAUUGUGAAGAGGCUGCAAGAAAGGAAGCACAUUUGUGGGAUGACUGGAGAUGGUGUGAAUGAUGCUCCAGCAUUGAAGAAAGCGGACAUUGGAAUUGCAGUGGCUGAUGCUACUGAUGCAGCUCGGGGUGCAUCUGAUAUAGUCUUGACAGAGCCAGGAUUGAGUGUGAUUGUGAGUGCUGUCUUAACAAGCAGAGCCAUUUUCCAGAGAAUGAAGAAUUAUACAAUUUAUGCAGUUUCUAUAACCAUCCGAAUUGUGCUGGGUUUUAUGCUCCUUGCUCUUAUUUGGAAGUUUGAUUUCUCUCCUUUCAUGGUUCUCAUCAUUGCAAUUCUCAAUGACGGAACGAUCAUGACGAUUUCCAAAGAUAGAGUGAAGCCAUCUCCACUUCCUGAUUCAUGGAAGCUAAAGGAGAUCUUUGCUACUGGAAUUGUACUUGGUACCUACCUAGCUGUCAUGACUGUUGUAUUCUUCUGGGCCGCUCACAGUUCUGACUUUUUCUCGGAAAAGUUUGGUGUUAGAUCCAUCAGAAACAACCAUGAUGAGCUUACAGCUGCAGUCUACCUCCAAGUGAGCAUAGUCAGUCAGGCACUAAUCUUCGUUACAAGGUCCCGCAGCUGGUCUUUUGUUGAACGCCCCGGUCUCCUACUUGUGACUGCUUUUGUCAUUGCGCAACUGAUUGCCACUCUCAUUGCUGUAUAUGCCGAAUGGGAUUUUGCUAAAGUAAAUGGUAUUGGCUGGGGAUGGGCUGGUGUUAUUUGGAUCUACAGCAUUGUCUUCUACUUCCCUCUAGAUAUUCUGAAGUUCCUCAUUCGAUAUGCUUUGAGUGGCAAAGCCUGGGAUAACCUAGUCCAAAACAAGACUGCAUUCACAACAAAGAAGGAUUAUGGAAGAGGAGAGAGGGAAGCACAAUGGGCUGCAGCUCAACGUACCCUGCAUGGACUGCAGCCUCCGGAAACUGCAGAACUCUUCCAAGAUAAGAAUUACAGGGAGUUGUCCGAGAUUGCUGAGCAGGCCAAGAGGCGUGCAGAAGUAGCAAGGUUAAGAGAACUUCAUACACUUAAAGGGCAUGUUGAAUCAGUGGUGAGACUCAAGGGACUAGACAUUGACACCCUUCAACAGCACUACACUGUUUGAUGAGAAGAUGCAGAUUAAUUAAGAGUCUGUUGGCGAAGAGUUUUGGGCGAGGAGAGUGUGAAACCUAGAUUAUGAAGAUUAGGAUGCAUUCUUUUUGUUUCCAAAAAGAAAUCCUUUUUUCAGGAUUUUGUAGGAAGCAAGGGUUGGGGAAUAAAAUUAGCAUUGUGAGUUGGAAAAAUAAUUUCACCAAGAUAACGUCUGCAGCUAUCUUUGUAUUCUUGUUACAUUAAUUUUCAAUGGGAUUCCCUAUUUUUGCUUUUAUCA
rnacentral:misc_RNA from 1 species